AAUAUUGGACAAUGGGCGAAAGCCUGAUCCAGCCAUGCCGCGUGUGUGAAGAAGGUCUUCGGAUUGUAAAGCACUUUAAGUUGGGAGGAAGGGUUGUAGGUUAAUACCCUGCAAUUUUGACGUUACCAACAGAAUAAGCACCGGCUAGCUUCGUGCCAGGAGCCGCGGUAAUACGAAGGGUGCAAGGGUUAAUCGGAAUUACUGGGCGUAAAGCGCGCGUAGGUGGGUUGUUAAGUUGGAAGUGAAAGCCCCGGGCUCAACCUGGGAACUGCUUUCAUAACUGCUGAGCUAGAGUACGGUAGAGGGUAGUGGAAUUUCCUGUGUAGCGGUGAAAUGCGUAGAUAUAGGAAGGAACACCAGUGGCGAAGGCGGCUUUCUGGACUGUAACUGACACUGAGGCAUGAAAGCGUGGGUAGCAAACAGG
rnacentral:rRNA from 1 species